rnacentral:rRNA from 1 species
UACGUAGGGUGCGAGCGUUGUCCGGAAUUACUGGGCGUAAAGGGCGCGUAGGCGGCCUGUUAAGUCGAACGUGAAAUCCCCAGGCUCAACCUGGGAACUGCGUCCGAUACUGGCAGGCUUGAAUCCGGGAGAGGGAUGUGGAAUUCCAGGUGUAGCGGUGAAAUGCGUAGAUAUCUGGAGGAACACCGGUGGCGAAGGCGGCAUCCUGGACCGGUAUUGACGCUGAGGCGCGAAAGCCAGGGGAGCAAACGGG